CGAGUGGUUGUGACGAUUAUUGGGUCUAAGCGUCCGUAGCCGGCCGGAAAAGUUCUCCGUUAAAUCCAACGAUUCAAUCGUUGGUCUGCGGAGAAUACUUUCUGGCUUGGGGGCGGGGGAGGUCGGCGGUAGUCCCGGGGUAGGGGCGAAAUCCUAUAAUCUCGGGAGGACCACCAGUGGCGAAGGCGGCCGACCAGAACGCGCCCGACGGUGAGGGGCGAAAGCUGGGGGAGCGAACGGGAUUAGAUACCCCGGUAGUCCCAGCUGUAAACGAUGCAGGCUAGGUGUCGGAGCGGUCACGAACCGGUCCGGUGCCGCAGGGAAGUCAUUAAGCCUGCCACCUGGGAAGUACGGCCGCAAGGUUGAAAUCUUAGGCGUGGUUUUGGAAAAUCUUCAGAACGAACCACUCCAAGGACAACAUACUUAAAGGAAUUGGCGGGGGAGCACCACAAGGGGUGAAGCUUGCGGUUUAAUUGGAGUCAACACCGGGAAUCUUACCAAGAAAGACAGCGGGAUGAAGGUCAGAUUAAAGGUUUUACCGGACUAGCUGAGAGGAGGCGCAUGGCCGUCGCCAGCUCGUGCCGUGAGGUGUUCUCUUAAGUGAGACAACGAGCGAGACCCGCACUGCUAGUUGCCAGCGGAUCCCUUCGGGAAUCCGGGUACACUAGAAGGACUGCCUCCGCUAAGGAGGAGGAAGGAGCGGGCCACGGCAGGUCCGUAUGCCCCGAAUUUCUUGGGCCACACGCGAGCUGCAAUGGCUGGGACAAUGGGUCCCAACCCCGAGAGGGGAAGGUAAUCCCCAAACCCAGCCUCAGUUGGGAUAGAGGGUUGUAACUCGCCCUCUUGAACAUGGAAUCCCUAGUAACCGCGUGUCAUCAUCGCGCGGUGAAUACGUCCCUGCUCCUUGCACACACC
rnacentral:rRNA from 1 species